rnacentral:rRNA from 1 species
AACGUAGGAGACGAACGUUAUCCGGAGUUACUGGGCGUAAAGGGCGUGUAGGCGGUUUGUUAAGUCUGGCGUGAAAGCUCUCGGCUAAACCGGGAGAGGUCGUUGGAUACUGGCGAACUAGAGGAUGGUAGAGGCGUGUGGAAUUCCGGGUGUAGUGGUGAAAUGCGUAGAGAUCCGGAGGAACCCCAGUGGCGAAGGCGGCUUUCUGGGCAUUUCCUGACGCUGAGACGCGAAAGCGUGGGGAGCGAACCGG